AGCGUGAUUGCUGGAUCAUAUGGUAAGAGUAUAUUUAGUUUUGUAGAAAACUGCCAAACUGUCUUCUAAAGUGGCUUUGCCAUUUUGCAUCCCCACUAGCAAU
rnacentral:pre_miRNA from 1 species